AUUGAACGCUGGCGGCAGGCUUUACACAUGCAAGUCGAACGAGUGGCGGACGGGUGAGUAAUGCUUGGGAAUCUAGCUUAUGGAGGGGGAUAACUAAGGGAAACUGUAGCUAAUACCGCGUACCAUAGGAUGAGCCCAAGUGGGAUUAGCUAGUUGGUGAGGUAAAGGCUCACCAAGCCGACGAUCUCUAGCUGGUCUGAGAGGAUGACCAGCCACACUGGGACUGAGACACGGCGCAGACUCCUACGGGAGGCAGCAGUGGGGAAUGUUGGGCAAUGGGGGCAACCUGACGCAGCCAUGCCGCGUGAAUGAAGAAGGCCGUCGGGUUGUAAAGUUCUUUCGGUAGCGAGGCGGUAACUACAGAAGAAGCACCGGCUAACUCCGUGCCAGCAGCCGCGGUAAUUC
rnacentral:rRNA from 1 species